CCUACGGGAGGCAGCAGUGAGGAAUAUUGGUCAAUGGACGAGAGUCUGAACCAGCCAAGUAGCGUGAAGGAUGACUGCCCUAUGGGUUGUAAACUUCUUUUAUAUGGGAAUAAAAUGUUCCACGUGUGGGAUUUUGUAUGUACCAUAUGAAUAAGGAUCGGCUAACUCCGUGCCAGCAGCCGCGGUAAUACGGAGGAUCCGAGCGUUAUCCGGAUUUAUUGGGUUUAAAGGGAGCGUAGGUGGAUUGUCAAGUCAGUUGUGAAAGUUUGCGGCUCAACCGUAAAAUUGCAGUUGAAACUGGCAGUCUUGAGUACAGUAGAGGUGGGCGGAAUUCGUGGUGUAGCGGUGAAAUGCUUAGAUAUCACGAAGAACUCCGAUUGCGAAGGCAGUUCACUGGACUGCAACUGACACUGAGGCUCGAAAGUGUGGGUAUCAAACAGGAUUAGAUACCCCUGUAGUC
rnacentral:rRNA from 1 species